ensembl:lncRNA
AAUACGAAAUGAAAGCUGGGCCUGGAAGGCUGGAAGGGCUCUUGGGCUUCGUGGGACCCGGAGUGCCACCUGCUGGCCGUGGUCUGCAAUGACAUCCACCACCCCUUCCUCUGACAGCAUGGACUUCCCGCUUGUAAACCCAAAAUAGGCUCCCUCUUUUUCUUCCAUGCGUUGAUAUCUCUCUCAAGAGCUUCCCAGACAUCUUUGCUCCCCUAGAGCAUUACAAAGUUGCUAGCACACAGGAGUAGUUUAAUAAAUAUUUUUUGAAUGAAUGAAUGAAUGAAAGGAUGGAUAGAUGGAUGGAUGAUGGAUGAUGGACGGAUGGAUGGACAAAAGGACGGAAGGGCAGUCUUGUGCGUCAUUGUGAAAUGAGAGAAUAAUCUCUGCCCUUCCCAUCUCACAGGCUUUUUUUGCAUUUUUUUUGUUUUCUCUUCUCUCGCUUUUGAUAAAAAUGAUGAUUUGAUACACAUAAACAUAGUGAAAUGAUUAUUAUUUGAGCUAACAUGCUAUCUCCUCAUAUAGUCAUUUUUUGUGAUGAAAGCUCUUGAAUUCUACUCUUCGCAUAUUUCCAGUAACUAUACAGUAUUAUUAACCACAGCCAUCGGGCUGGACACUAGCUCUCUAGACUUAAGUCACCCUACAUAACCACACUUCCGCCCCCUUUGACCUCAUCUCUCCACUCCCCCACCUCCCUGCCCUGGCAACCACCAGCCUGCUCUCUGCUUCUCUGUAUUCGACUUUUUUAGACUCCACACAAAAGUGAGUUGUGCAGUUUUCUUCUUUCCUCACAGGAUUUUUUUUUUUUUAGGAGAGUGAAUAAGAUAACCGUUGAGGGAAGCCAGAUGGAUGUGAAGGAUUAUGAUAACAACCCAACGCCAGGGGGCGGAGGAGUCAAAUGGUGACCAGGGUGAGCAGAGAGGCUGCAGAGAAAGCUCGUUUCCAUUUCCUCUUCCUCCUUUAGGACCAGCUCGCUACUCCUUUCCACGGAAUCUGAGGAGCUGAGAUUCCUGGCCACGGAGAGUUGUCGCUUCCUGGGCUCACUCAGAGGUGAGGUGACGUUCCACGCUCGCUGUCAGUUUUGAAACAGGCAGUGUCACUGUGCUGCGGGUGUGACUUGGCCCGUCACAGCCCUCCUGCGUUAGGAAACAUGGUUUCUGAGCCAUCACUGUCGGGCUGCCUGAUGGCGAGGUGCCCAUCUGAGCGUGUCCCCUGUUGACAGCGCUUGACAAGCAUCGUGCCGGUCUUGCUUUUAGAUGCUGCACAGCAGGAGCUCUGGUCUGCAUAACGCGGCACGAUGAAGCGGAAAGAGUAUGGACAAGGGGGCAGAAAGCUGGGCUCUGCCACCCGCCAGCUAGGGGACCUUGAGCAAGUCGGCUUGCCCUUGCCGGUACGUAAACCAUCUCGUUGGGACAGUGCAACAAGAUGGUGCCUGGGAAAACGCUUUGUAAACUGAAGUCCUAGACCAAAUGAACAUCACGCCCCAGAUGUGACCUGAGCGAGCCCAAAACCUACAGGGAGGCUCCAAUGCAUCGAUCUCGACCCAGCUUCUACUUAGGAAAUGCGGUCCCAUCUUAGCAUCUCUGUCACAAUCUUAUUUCACAUUAGCUUGUGGCCCACUAAGACCCAUCCCCUACUGGCUUUUUUGAAUAUGGACUGUACCCUUUCAAGUAUCAUCCACUGUUUGUUUGGGCAACCGGUUUUUUGAAACUAGAGGUAGACUUUGUGUUAUUUUGCACUAGGUAAAUUCAAUCUCAUUGCUCUGGCCCAUCUACAUAGGCUGUUAAAAUGUUCCCAGGGGCCGGCCUGGUGGCGCAGCGGUUAAGUGCGCACAUUCCCCUUUGGCGGCCCGGGAUCCGCCGGUUUGGAUCCCGGGCGCGGACAUGGCACAGCUCAUCAAGCCAUGCUGUGGCAGGUGUCCCACAUAUAAAGCAGGGGAAGAUGGGCACAGAUGUUAGCUCAGGGCUAGUCUUCCUCAGCAAAAAAGGAGGAUUGGCAGAUGUUAGCUCAGGACUGAUCUUCCUUAAA